rnacentral:lncRNA from 1 species
GUCUCAUGCGGAGUGGAGUCGUCGGAGUUGUAGUCAAUAAGAAAACGUGAACUAACAGCAAUUUAGCUGGUCAAAUUUUUUCAAUGAACCUGUUAGGUUAGAACUCUCGACUCAUCACGUGUGGUUAUAUUUUUCUAUAUUUAUUCUUGGCAACUUCGUCAAUCUCGUAUAGGUGAGUGUGCAUGCAAAAAAUAAUAAUUAAAAAGGUAUUUCACAAUAAUUUAAAAUUACAUUCCACAAAAAAUAUUUUUGAAUGCAACUUUGUCUCUUGCUAUUUUCCAAAAUACUAUCUGUCCCUUUGGCGCAGCUCCUAUCGGCUCUGGCUCCAUCUGACACGCGAUUGUAGGAACAUUGUAGCACCUCUAUUCAUGGGAGCUAUUUUUCUCUCACCUCUCUCU